AGAGUUUGAUCCUGGCUCAGGAUGAACGCUGGCGGCGUGCCUAACACAUGCAAGUCGAGCGAAGCACUUUGCUUUGAUUCUUUCGGGAGGAAAAGUAAUUUGACUGAGCGGCGGACGGGUGAGUAACGCGUGGGUAACCUGCCUCAUACAGGGGGAUAACAGUUAGAAAUGACUGCUAAUACCGCAUAAGACCACAGUACUGCAUGGUACAGUGGUAAAAACUCCGGUGGUAUGAGAUGGACCCGCGUCUGAUUAGCUGGUUGGUGGGGUAACGGCCCACCAAGGCGACGAUCAGUAGCCGGCCUGAGAGGGUGAACGGCCACAUUGGGACUGAGACACGGCCCAAACUCCUACGGGAGGCAGCAGUGGGGGAUAUUGCACAAUGGGGGGGAACCCUGAUGCAGCGACGCCGCGUGAGCGAUGAAGUAUUUCGGUAUGUAAAGCUCUAUCAGCAGGGAAGAAAAUGACGGUACCUGACUAAGAAGCCCCGGCUAACUACGUG
rnacentral:rRNA from 1 species